rnacentral:tRNA from 2 species
GCCCAGAUGGUGGAAUUGGUAGACACGCAUGGUUGAGGGCCAUGUGAGAUUACUCGUGUGGGUUCAAGUCCCGCUCUGGGCA